rnacentral:rRNA from 1 species
CCUACGGGGGGCAGCAGUCGAGAAUCAUUCACAAUGGGGGAAACCCUGAUGGGGCGACGCCGCGUGGGGGAAUGAAGGUCUUCGGAUUGGAAACCCCUGUCAUGUGGGAGCAAAUUAAAAAGAGAGUACCACAAGAGGAAGAGACGGCGAACUCUGGGCCAGCAGCCGCGGUAAUACAGAGGGAUCAAGCGUUGUUCGGAAUCCCUGGGCGUAAAGAGUGCGUAGGCUGUUUCGUAAGGCGUGUGUGAAAGGCGCGGGCUCCACCCGCGGACGGCACAUGAGACUGCGAGACUAGCGUACUGGUGGGUGAACCUGAUUUCUCGUUGUCGCCGUGUACUGCGUAGAUAUCGAGAG